CCAGGUGCAAACACUAAUCCUCAAAAUGAUUAACACAGGGCCUAGAGGCAUGUCCAUGUGCUUUGGAACAAUGGAUCCUAACAAUGCCGAAGUUGAAAGACAACAGAGGAAGACAACAACAAGUCAUCUCAGAUGAAAUCCAUGCCACCCUAGUUCAUCAUGUGCUCAUACAUGUGAGGACUACGACAGAAACUGGACAGCUAGUGGAACCCAACCUAAGCCGUUACAUAGUUGCAUCCAUUGUCCGUACUUUCAGAAGGGAAAACAGAACUGAGAGGUGGCCAUCUAUUGGAGGUAGGCGGAGAUUUCUCACAGCUGAGCAGGAGACUGCCCUGGUGAAUAUGAUGAUUAUUGGUAAUAAUGUCAUCUGUUAGAGGUAAAUUCAAACCCAAAUAGUUGAAGACCAGGUAGUGUUCCAAGGAAUUGACAGCAUCAGCAUUUCCACCAUUGACCGGAUCGUUCAGAAGAACCACAUAAGGACAACCGUGUGCCUUUUGAAAGGAAUUCAAAUAGUUAAGGAGCAACGAUUCCAAUAUGUGCAGAGAAUCUUUGAGCUGGAUGCCAUGGCAGACCCACAGGAGUACACCUUUAUCGACGAGGUAGGGUUCAACCUAACAAAAGGCGGUGCAUUGGUCACCGUGCUAUCAUACAAGUUCCUGGCCAGAGGGGGCAACAUCAUUGGUCACCGUGCUAUCAUACAAGUUCCUGGCCAGAGGGGGCAACAUCAUUGGUCACCGUGCUAUCAUACAAGUUCCUGGCCAGAGGGGGCAACAUCAUUGGUCACCGUGCUAUCAUACAAGUUCCUGGCCAGAGGGGGCAACAUCAUUGGUCACCGUGCUAUCAUACAAGUUCCUGGCCAGAGGGGGCAACAUCAUUGGUCACCGUGCUAUCAUACAAGUUCCUGGCCAGAGGGGGCAACAUCAUUGGUCACCGUGCUAUCAUACAAGUUCCUGGCCAGAGGGGGCAACAUCAUUGGUCACCAUGCCAUCAUACAAGUUCCUGGCCAGAGGGGGCAACAUCAUUGGUCACCGUGCUAUCAUACAAGUUCCUGGCCAGAGGGGGCAACGUCACCCUAUGUGCAGCCAUCAGCAGUCCUGGCGUCCUCCACCGCCAUGUCAAAGUGGGUCCAUACAACACGGCACAACUCCUUCAAUUUCUAGAUCAGCUGCAUAUUAACAUUCCACAACAGGAAGGGGAGCAGGGCAACCAGAGCAAGCCAAAUAUGUUGUCAUUUGGGAUUAAGGGAGUUUCCAUUGGUCUGCUCUGGUUGGCGCCUUGUUCAAUGACCACCCCAGGUUCACAGUUCUUAUUUUGCCAGCAUAUUCCCCAUUUCUGAAUCCGAUUGAGGAAUUUCUCUCAGCAUGGCGGUGGAGAGUGUUUGACUGUAAACCCUACGCACAGCAAAACAUCCUGGACGUAAUGGUGGACACCUGUGGUGAUGUGUCUGUGGAGUCUAUCCAGGGUUUUCUAAGGCACACAAGGGCAUUUUUCCCACACUGCCUGGCAAGAGAAAACAAUGUGUGACAUUGAUGAGAUAUUAUGGCCAGACCCAGACCUGAGACGCUGAGUAACCUGUACAUUUGGAAAUAAAGCUUUUGGAAAUGGGGUAUUUUACUGUGCAUGGACUCUUCCUUACAUGUUUCGUCAGUGUAACAUUUCAAAGGUCAGGUUUUUGACCAAAACAGCAUAUCCAGUAGUAUUCCCUUAUCCACUAAUGUAAGAGGUAUUUAUUACAGUACUGUUUAAGUUCUCUCCAGGGUGUUCCUGAAAGGGUUAUCUGGAUAGGCAGUGCUGUGAUUUUAUCUGAAAAGCUAUUCUAAACAUUUUGGUAGCAGUGUUUUGAAUUAAUCCCUCCAGUGUGUAACAGUCAUGUAGUCUGCAUUUGACAGCUUGUGUGUGUUGUCUGAGGGCAAAGUUUGAAUUGGGACCCAGAAGUUAGAUGGUUGUACCGUUGGGUGAGUUUUUAAAAUUGUGUGUGAAGAUUUGAGAAAAUGGUGAGUAGUUCCAGGAAUUGUGUUUAAGCUAUUAUUAUGCGUUUUCCUUAGAACAUGAACCUUUAAAGAGAUACUCUUGCACAUAUUAAACCCUUAUAAUGAUGUAUAUGCAUCCUUCCUUACAUAUCAUCUAGAAUUAUACUGAAAAAUAU